GACGAACGCUGGCGGCGUGCCUAACACAUGCAAGUCGAGCGGAGUUGGAAGAAGGUGCAGAGAUGCAGCGGGAGCCGACUUAGCGGCGAACGGGUGAGUAACACGUGGGCAAUCUGCCCUCUGGAGCGGGAUAACAGACCGAAAGGCCUGCUAAUACCGGAUAAUACUGAAUGACUACUGUCGUUUAGUCAAAGAAGGCUUCUGUUUACAUGCUUUUGCUGAAGGAUGAGUCCGCGUACCAUUAGCUAGUUGGUAGGGUAAGGGCCUACCAAGGCGACGAUGGUUAGCUGGUCUGAGAGGAUGAUCAGCCACACUGGAACUGAGACACGGUCCAGACUCCUACGGGAGGCAGCAGUGGGGAAUUUUGCGCAAUGGGGGAAACCCUGACGCAGCAACGCCG
rnacentral:rRNA from 1 species